rnacentral:rRNA from 1 species
UACGGAGGGGGCUAGCGUUGCUCGGAAUUACUGGGCGUAAAGCGCACGUAGGCGGCUUUCUAAGUCAGGGGUGAAAUCCUGGAGCUCAACUCCAGAACUGCCUUUGAUACUGGGAAGCUCGAGUCCGGAAGAGGUGAGUGGAACUGCGAGUGUAGAGGUGAAAUUCGUAGAUAUUCGCAAGAACACCAGUGGCGAAGGCGGCUCACUGGUUCGGUACUGACGCUGAGGUGCGAAAGCGUGGGGAGCAAACAGG